GAUAAUGUUUAUAAUGCUAUUUUGGUCGUUCAAAGAGCUUUUACAGCACCUGCAAAAGCAGCGAUAAAUGAAAUUAAUUCAUACUUCCACAUGGAAGUUUUUGAGUUUUUUCUUAAAGGAUAAGUGAUAGACGAAAUCCGGGAGUUGAAUCCUAGAGUUGAAAUCCAAGAGUUGAAUCCCUUAUAAAGUUUAAAUUUAAUUCUUUCAGUGCUGGAGAUGAUGAUUAUGAAGGGUACAAUUACCGCUUGUGUGGGCGACUUUCUGCUGUUCGAAUUGUUUUUCUUUGUAGGUUUGUUCAGGAGGUAUGAUGGGAUACAGUUUAAACUGUACAGUUUUAGCAUUACCAUCAUCCUAUUAUGGUUAAACCUUAACAUUUAACAAUUGAAGUUCACUUUCACAAAUAGUCAAAAUUUAGGUCUAUAAAUUUCAAGAAACUUGGUUUGGCAGAUAACAGUUUACUUCAUGGAGCUUGCUACCCCACAUACAGAAGAAAUAAUAAAACUUGUUGAUAAAGUUGGCGAUUUUGAGUGGUUAAUUCAGAAAUCUGAAAUUGAUGGGGCUGCUGCUUUGAAGCUGGAUCUUACAUUUGACACUCCAAUAAUUAUAGUUCCUAGGAAUUCAACGAGCACUGAGUAUGUUUAACUUUCCAUUAUCUUAGACUUGCAAAGUAGAACAGAACACUAACUGUUUUAGUCCAUUUUAAUAGAAACUGAACUCUCCAGGAUUUUUGUAUUAUUAUUUAGUGUGAACAUUACUAAUGUAUUUCCAUAUGACAAGUUUUGUUCAACUUGAUGUGGGUCUUCUAAAGGUCAGAAAUAAAAUAAGUUGAGCAUAUUAGGUUUGUCACUUAAAGGGCUCUGCAGAUUGUUUUAGAUUGGCUUGAUUUUUUAUUCACUCAAUAUUUCUCUUUAUCUCUCCAUGUGAUCCUAUUCUAGUAUCAUUUAGUACUUGAGUGAUCUAGAAGAUGUUGAUACAUGUCUUAAGGUAUAAUUUUCUGUCAGUUUACAUUAGAACAAGGUAGGUGCAUUAGACCAAGGUGUAAAUGAAUAUGAUCAAGUGUAUGUGUAUUCAAUAACAAGGACUAUUAGGAAAUCAUGUGUAUUGGCCAAUGAAAGAUUAAAAAAUUUUUGCAUGAUUUUUAGAUAAAAGGGACUAGUUGUUAGUGUUUGCUAUCAUAUCUUAAGCUAAUUUAUAUGUACACGGUCACACAUAAAAACACAAAUUUAUAUAUAUUGCCUCGUCUGUGGCAAGUGCUUUUUCCACACCUUGCCUUUUGAGUAAUAUAAAGGGUUCUAGUGCCUAGAAUACCUUGUGCUCUUGGCAACAUUUGGCUGGCCCUACAUUUCUUAAAUUUUUUUUCUAAUUCAAAUUCAUAUUUACUAUUUUUUGAAGAAAAAUUAAUAAUAAUUUUGUUUUGUCAUUUCUUCUAAUAUUAAUAACUAGCUACUUAUACUAUAUUAGAGAAUCAAAUAUUCACCGAGUCAAUGGAGUAUAUAAUUUAAAUAAAUUAUCCUUGAGAUAGUACCGAACCAGUUUUCCUCUUUGAAAUUGCUUUAACCAGUGAAAUGCUUCGGUAGUUUGCUACCUUUGUGGUGGAAAUUCUUGAUGUCUAUUUUGGACUUUGGAGCUAUAAUUUCAUUUUUCUUAUAUGCAAUUUUAUUUUUAUUAUUUUUCUUUUAUACAGGAUUAGAACCGGUAUACUACAGGAAGAGGAGUGCACAAAAAUCUGAAACGUACAGAGAAAGCUCGCAUUCUAGUUAGCAAAUUGCCAUGUUGCUGAGAAGACUGCUCUUCUGCGGCCUAUAGAACUUAAACUUGUUCCUGUGGCCUUGGAAGGUAGUGCAUUUAAAAGCAAGUUUCUUGAUACGGAUGAACUUAUGAGCUACUGUAGCUGGUUUGCGACUUUCAGUAGCAUGAUCCCAAAAUGGCUGCGGAAAACCAAAAUUGUCAAGAAAAUUAGCCAAAUACUGGUGAAUCACCUUGGACUAAAUUUGACCAAAGAUGAUCUACAAAAUGUGGUUGAUUUAAUGGAGCCAUAUGGUCAGAUAAGCAAUGGAAUAGAAUAUCUAAAUCCUCCCCUUGAUGUCAGUAACUAACUUGCUUGUCAUUUUAAAUAUGCAAGUCAAUUGCUAUUAAUAAUUUUCUGUUGGAUUCUUGGACUGAAAAAUAAUUGAAUUGCAAGGUCAUACAUGCUGUUAAUUUUUUAAGAGCUAAUAAAUGAGUAUGACAUAGUGCUCAUAAA